UCCGGUAUGGUCUAGUGGCUAGGAUACCUGGCUUUCACCCAGGAGGCCUGGGUUCGAUUCCCGGUACCUGAA
rnacentral:tRNA from 1 species